UAUACAGACAGAAACCGGUGCCAGAUUCAUAUAGGCAGCACUGUUUCAGAGCUACUUCCUUCACAAGGACUCAUGAGCUGACACAAAUGUAGUUAUCCUGCAUAACCUAAUCCUUUGCAGCUCACAACCCAGAAAUAGUCAGUUUUUCUACAGGAACCUGAAGACUGCAACUCACAGCCCAUCACUAGUCACGUGUGCUCUCAAUGUUAUUUCCUUAUCAACUGGCAUCUAUUUUUAAAUUUCUGGAAUCUUAUAUCUUUUUCAUUUUACUAAUCAGGUUUUUCUACAUGAGACUCUAAGACAGCAACUCACAGCCCAACACUAGUGAGGUAUGUUCCCAUUUAUUAUUUCAUUUUUAGUUACUGACCGACUUCCUUUCAAAAAUUCUGUUUUUUCUACACGAGACCCAAAGACCACAACUCACAGCCUAGCACUAGUGAGCCAGUGAGGUAUGUUCUCAAAUAUUACUUCCUUUUCAGUUUACUAUCGACUGCCAUUUUAAAAUUUUACGGUCUUCACGAGACUUGAAUGUUGGAAUAUUUAUAAUCAAGAAAUUUGAUGUAAUUAGAAGUCAAACUGUGCUUAAAAGAAAGUGUGUCUGUUUGUAUUAUUGUGCUGAUUGGUUUAGGUUGUGUCAUUUAGUUUAAUGGUUAUCUGAACGUUUCAUGUAAGGGUAUAAAUGCCCAUUAACGACGACAUUUGUAAGUGUGUGAAAUAGAAUAUUAGUGUGUGGUUCUUUGUAUCUCUGUUUCACCAAGAGAGUCCCUGCACAUUCAUGUGCAUACUCAUAUUCAUAUAUUGUUCAUUCAAGCAUAUCUAAAUUGAUCCAAGUUUUAUAAUUAAACACGGGUCCUUUUAUUGAAGACUCAAGCUCAUAACCCAACACUAGUCUGGUAUGUUUUCAAAUAUAACUACCCUUUCAAUUUAUUAACCGAAUUUUGUUUUAGAAUUUCAUGUAUUUCACACGGGACCAGAAGACUGCACCUCACAGCCAAGCAUUAGGUAGUUAUGUUCUUGAACCUUCAUUUUAAGUUUACUAAGCGACUUCUGUUUUAAAAUGUCAUUUUUUUUCUGCACGUUACUUGAAACCUACAGCUUAUCACAGCCCAUAAGUAGUCGGCAUGUUACACCUACUAACCAACUUUCGUUUUAAAGUACACAUUUUUCUACAUGAGAUCCCAAGGCUGCAACUCAUAGCCCCGCACUAGGCAGGUAUGUUUUCGAAUAUUACAUCUUUCUCUGUUUAAUAACCAGCGCCCAUUUUAUAAUGCAGGUUUUUCUAUACAGGACUUGAAGAAUGCAUUGCAUCUCACAACUCAGCGCUAGUCUGUUUACAACUGGCUUCCAAUUUAAACUUAUAGGUUAUUCACGAGACUUGAAGACUCCAGGUCAUAACCCCAACACUAGUCAGUUAAGUUUUCGAAUAUUUCUUCCUUUACAAUUUACUAACCGACGAUCGUUUAAGGAAUUUCAUGUGUUUUACACGAGAC